rnacentral:lncRNA from 1 species
GUGACUUGGUCCUCAGGGUCUCCGGCCUCGGCACAUUAAUCUUCAGACCCGGCUUUUUCGACGCCGAGCUGCCGCCCAGCCCCAAUGGCAGGGCCUUCCAGGGAGUCCCAGUCAGACUGCUCCCCAGCUCCCGCAGCUGCUCGGUCCCUGCAAAGCCCCCGGGAGCGUUUCUACUCUCCCCUGAGCCCACGCCAUCCCGUCACUCCUAGGAAACUUUUCGCGCAGAAACUCCUGGAGAACAGCCCCGGCCGCCAGGUACUCGCCCGCCCGGACCGCAAAGCCCACAGAGCUUCAAUUCGCAGGAAGGGGAGUGGGGAGCCCUGAGCUGGGGUGUUCCUGGAAGAGGUCGGGGAGCGGGGGGAGAGGCAUUCCAGGCUGGAGGCCUGGAAACGUUUGGAAGCUUUGCUAACCUUGGAGACCAUGUCAGGAAAGAAGCGUACCCAGGCCGUCUGCUGUGUGCCCACCCCGAUCCCCAUCAGUGCCCCACGCACUCGAGCUCUUCUUCGGCGUCUGCAGCCUCUUCAUCCGCGCGGAGAGGCGGAGGUCUCCCGGAAACAGUGUCCGACUGUGGCACCCCAGAGCGUCCAAUGCGAGCUCAGGCCUUUCCCGCAAGUCUGGAGUUUUCUUAUCCAGUUGAGGCCGCCUUCGCUGUACUCACUCUCUGCCUCCCACCCCAUCUUCUGCCACCCGACCUCCAUCUUUGAUGGUUAGCGCCUUCAGCCCUCAACAGCUUCGCACAACCAACCCCUAGAAGCCGUGGAGUCAGACCGGCCAGGGUGGGACCUAGGUUUUAACUCGGGUUCUGGCUACACACGCUGCGCCUCCAUACAGUUUGUCCCAGGUUUGGCAGCAGGCCGGCUACCUUCAGGAAUUCUUUGCUUUGGCUUCUGUCUGUUCCUGUCUGUUGGGCAAGUUUCUAGCUACCCCACUGAGAGAACCAUAGAACAAGGACCCUGGCAUGGCAUACAGACAAGGAAUGUUUGCUGAAUUAAUGGAGCUGGUGCCUUGCAGCUUCCCUUUUGUUCCUUGAAGUUGCCCUUGCUCUCCUCCACAUCAGCUCCCUCUCCUCCUCAGCUACUUAUUCCCCACCCUGGCUUCUUCUAGUCGCAGUCCCCAAGUACUUGCUGAAUCCUGUAUGGACAGCCUAAGCCUCCAUUUCUGACAAUUCCUGUGGCCCCACUCCAUUUGUUUUUUAGACUUCUCCCUCCUUUUUGUCCCCAUCCCCCAAGUUAUAAAACUAUAAUG